CGUCAAGAUUCCAUCGAGUUCGAUCCGAUCGAUUCUUCGGUUACGAGCAAAGGACAUCCACGGUGAUCGUGGCACGCUGAUUCGUCGCUUCUGCUAGAUUCCACAGGACGCGAUCUAGUCAACUUUCGAGAGGAUCAGAGGAAUUCGCGAGCUUUGAAGUGGCUAUCUCUGAUAAUGAAAAAUUCAACGAUGCACACUCCUAGAUACGAAACAACUAUAGAUACACAUUCUAAGUAUCGCGCGCAGACAAAUCAUGUGGUAUAUUUUCCACGGUCGAUACAGAAGAAUCAGUCAAUCGGCGUACGAGCGGGUUAAUCAUGCCUUCUACAGAUGUCUCCAUGCAUGCGAUUAAUCGCUAGAUUUCCAACUAUUCGAAUUGCUAGUUACGCAUGAAACUUUGUUAAUUUUUAUUUUUAUAAUUGUUUAUGCAGUUACACUUAAUAAUUUCUGAUAUUUAAAGGAAAUUAAUUUUAGAGAUUUUAUGCAACUUAAAUAGAAAAUCUAACUUGCUUCUAAAAAUGAUAUUUACUGUAAUUGAAGAUGUAUCGUGUGAUUAAUGAAAUAAAUUAAUUUUAAAUUUUGUAAUAUUUAUAUUCGGAUCUUUUCCUGAUUGUAUACCCAAUUGCGUUCACAGAUAAAAAGUUUGACAAGCACGCGUAAAGUAAUGUUUGUUAUUUAUUCAGUUCCCACAUAACAAUGUGUACAUUAUGAUUUUAAAUUGCAAAUCAACUUGUAAAGGUAGUAAGUGUUGAAAAUAACAUUGAGUGAUAAGCAAAAUUUUAAUAUGAAAUCAGAAGCAAUGAAAAAGAUGUUAAUUAAGACUAGGAAUAUGUGUAAGCGUAAUACACGAUAAUAAUAAAUUCAAUUGAAAAUUCUACUUAAAUGCAUGUCCUGUGUUUCACCACAAUCGCAACAAUGAGGCAUGGAUACCGCAGGAUACCGAGGUAACAGGAUAACAGUAUACCAAAUGAUACUGAGCGACGAAAUUCAAGCGAGUAUUCGUAUUUUAUUCACGGAGAUGUAAUGUGAGAAAUAAAGCAGGACAUUAAAGAAACUAACCGUCGCAUAAACUUGUGCGACAAGUUUCGUUCACACGACACUGACAACCUCUGGUCAGGUUCAAUCUGAAAUUAAACACACUUAAUUUAAAAUGCUCAAGAGUUCUGCCCAGAUUCGAAUAUACUUUGAUAAAUAUAUAACAAUAAGUCACUCUUUCAUGCAUAAAACACUGUUAUUUUUGUAACGAGUUAAGUAAUAUAAGAGUCUUUAAAUGUAUUUUUCAGUAAACAAAAUAUUCCCCAAAAUUGUUUUAAUUACAAUAUCUUUGGUAUCGAUUAGACAAUGCAAGGCUUCGAACACAAUUUUACCAUUCUCGAUUUUUAGCUUACAAUUAUGGCAUAGAUUCAUCCCCUAAAGCGAUACUCACCUGUAGAGCCACCCCCA